AUUGAACGCUGGCGGCAUGCCUUACACAUGCAAGUCGAACGGCAGCGGACCUUCGGGUGCCGGCGAGUGGCGAACGGGUGAGUAAAGUAUCGGAACGUACCUUUCAGUGGGGGAUAACGUAGCGAAAGUUACGCUAAUACCGCAUAUUCUGUGAGCAGGAAAGCAGGGGAUCGCAAGACCUUGCGCUGAUUGAGCGGCCGAUAUCAGAUUAGCUGGUUGGUGAGGUAAAGGCUCACCAAGGCGACGAUCUGUAGCGGGUCUGAGAGGAUGAUCCGCCACACUGGAACUGCGACACGGUCCAGACUCCUACGGGAGGCAGCAGUGGGGAAUUUUGGACAAUGGGGGCAACCCUGAUCCAGCCAUGCCGCGUGAGUGAAGAAGGCCUUCGGGUUGUAAAGCUCUUUCGGCCGGGAAGAAAUCGCGCCAGUUAAUACCUGGUGUGGAUGACGGUACCGGAAUAAGAAGCACCGGCUAACUACGUGCCAGCAGCCGCGGUAA
rnacentral:rRNA from 1 species